rnacentral:rRNA from 1 species
AGAGUUUGAUCAUGGCUCAGGAUGAACGCUAGCGGGAGGCCUAACACAUGCAAGUCGAGCGGGAUUCUCCUUCGGGAGAAGAGAGCGGCGCACGGGUGAGUAACGCGUAUGCAACCUGCCCCAGACAGGGGGAUAGCCCGGAGAAAUCCGGAUUAAUACCCCAUAUAAUUAUAUUUCCGCAUGGGAAUAUGAUCAAAGCCCCGGCGGUUUGGGAUGGGCAUGCGUGACAUUAGCUUGUUGGCGAGGUAACGGCUCACCAAGGCUACGAUGUCUAGGGGUUCUGAGAGGAUGAUCCCCCACACUGGUACUGAGACACGGACCAGACUCCUACGGGAGGCAGCAGUGAGGAAUAUUGGUCAAUGGGCGCAAGCCUGAACCAGCCAUCCCGCGUGAAGGAAGACGGCCCUAUGGGUUGUAAACUUCUUUUGUACAUGAAGAACGGUUUUUACGAGUAGAGACAUGACGGUAAUGUACGAAUAAGCAUCGGCUAACUCCGUGCCAGCAGCCGCGGUAAUACGGAGGAUGCGAGCGUUAUCCGGAUUUAUUGGGUUUAAAGGGUACGUAGGUGGCCCGAUAAGUCAGUGGUGAAAACCUGUCGCUCAACGAUAGGCGUGCCAUUGAUACUGUUGGGCUUGAGUACAGAUGAGGUAAGCGGAAUGUGUAGCGUAGCGGUGAAAUGCAUAGAUAUUACACAGAACUCCGAUUGCGAAGGCAGCUUACUAAACUGACACUGACGCUGAGGUACGAAAGCGUGGGUAGCGAACAGGAUUAGAUACCCUAGUAGUCC